rnacentral:rRNA from 1 species
AACGAACGCUGGCGGCAGGCUUAACACAUGCAAGUCGAACGGGUGCAGCAAUGCAUCAGUGGCAGACGGGUGAGUAACACGUGGGAACCUUCCUAGGGGUACGGAACAACUCAGGGAAACUUGAGCUAAUACCGUAUACGUCCGUAAGGAGAAAGAUUUAUCGCCCUUAGACGGGCCCGCGUCGGAUUAGCUAGUUGGUGGGGUAACGGCCUACCAAGGCGACGAUCGGUAGCUGGUCUGAGAGGAUGAUCAGCCACACUGGGACUGAGACACGGCCCAGACUCCUACGGGAGGCAGCAGUGGGGAAUAUUGGACAAUGGGCGAAAGCCUGAUCCAGCAAUGCCGCGUGGGUGAAGACGGCCUGCGGGUUGUAAAGCCCUUUAGGCGGGGAGGAACGACGGGACGUGAAUAACGUUUCGGAGUGACGUUACCCGCGGAAUAAGCACCGGCUAACUCCGUG